rnacentral:lncRNA from 1 species
UGAUAGCUUGGUUCUAUUCGGCGUUACUUGGUGUCAGGCAAUGUUUUAUAUAUUUAAAAGGCAUAAGGAAAAUAAUGAUUGACUGACCUUAUGAAAGGCCAUGGACAGUGGCUAACAGUGGGCCUUCUUCGCCUUAAAAAACAAAGAAAAAUAUGUUAAAUUUCUUAAUCUUUUCUGCAUGGACAAAGUUUGUCCACUUAGCUCCAUCGUAUGGAAAAUUGUUUGCCGCUUGCAUAGACACAUUGCCGUUCAAAGCAUUUUAGGUAAUGUAUCUGGGGUCCUGUGUAUGUCUUGCAGUAAGUAAACUUGAGUUGAAUUCUUGGUGGCAGCGGCAGGCGUCUGAACAAUGCUACUUUUCUGGUUCCGCAAAUAGAACCCAAAAUAGGAAAUCAGGAAGUGUGUGUUUCCAUUCAAAUGCCUACAGGACUCCCUUUUAACUAAACCUGAACAGUAGAAAAACCACACAGCAAGGGAAUCGAGCGGAUCGGAAGCAGCAGCAACUGCAAGUGCCUCAGGUAGGCAGGUAGCCUAGGCCCUUUUAUAGGAGAACUGCCCAUGCCCGUCGUCCAGUCGAUCGUGUAUGGACCACUAAUGAAGAGAUGGAUCUUUAUUUCCUUUUAUUAGGGAGGUGAAUCAGGAGACGCAACAUCUUCAGCCUUAAUCUUCUUUCUUUUGAUGGGGAAGACUUUGGAUUUUAGAUCUUGUAGACUGUGGUCAGCUAUGAAUACAGAAAAUGUACAAAUACAAUGAUAAGGAAUACAUCUAUAUUAGAAAAAAGCAUACUGUUAGGGUCUUUUUUAGAACAGCAAGUACAAUGUAGGUAUGCACGCGCACACCGGCACACACUCACACAGCGGGUACUGCAGACUUGAGUCACGGAACAUCAAGAUUGACAUACUGUUAGGGUCUUUUGCAAAACUAUUUAGGUGUAUACUAUGGUAAAUAUAACAACGCUCAUUUAACAGGAAAACAAUGAGUAUGACAAACUGACUAUUUAGGUGUAUACUAUGGUAAAUAUAACAACGCUCAUUAGGGUCUUGUACACAGAGCUCAAUAAUUAACUAUAGGGUCAGACACCUACCUGUAGAACAUACUACCAUGGAAUAAACAAUGAAAAUAAGAAGUAUCACGGU